rnacentral:lncRNA from 1 species
GCUCAAGAGUGAUCUGAAAGCCCAGUUUUGAGAGGGUAAUAUUUGAGAAUUGAGGGAACCUUGUUAGAACUUAGAAGGGACAUUUUCUGGGCAAAGGUGGUUAAUAAUGUUGAUAAGGAUUGAGGUAAGUUAAUCCAUCCAAAGGGUGAGGGAGUUAACAGGAAGAGACAGGACAAAGGCUGGGAACAGGCAGGGCACGAAUGGAGCUAUCAACAGAAAAUGGUAAAGUGAGAAUGAAAGGAGAGAGAGAGAGAGAGAUCUGUUGUGGCUACGCUCAUGCACUGCCUCUUCCCUGGCUCUGUCUCUUUCCUAUUCCAACUCCAUUUCCCUCUCUAUUUAUUUAUUUAUUUGUUAUUUAUGGAAUGUGCUUCUCUAAUCUGUUAUCCAAAUGUGUUAAAGGGUUCAAAUGAACAUUUUAUCUGCUACGCAAUUAGAUUUGCUCUAGGUGUUGCUGCUCUAUUUGACGCAAUGUUUUUUUAAAUCUUACAACAGCCCUAUUAGAUUGGCUCUGAUUGCUUCAGCUCUGCUUGACCAUGCACAAUUGUCUCCGCAGUUGUGUCACUGAUUAUUUUAUGUCUGUUUAAUUUAAGGUUAAUAAUUGCUUCUGUCAUGUGAAACUCAUUCCACAAGCACGAUUCUAGUCACAAUAUAACUUUUAUGAUGGACAGGAUACAGAUUUUGCCACACUUCAAUAUGCGGUUCAGAAGCCUUCUGACAACGGUGUGUGAAGCAAGAAUUAUCAACCAAGGUUCCUGCAAGCUAUGUGACAUUUUAGAUUCCAAUGCACAUAAAAUUUAUGUAUAUAAAGAUGGACACUGAAAUCAAAUCAGGCAUUUCAUUUAGUCCUUUGUACUGUAUACUAGUAGUAUGUUGCUGGCCAUCAUUUGUUGAAAACUUAAAAUGUUAGAAAUAGUAAAAGGGUGACAAAUUGUAAUAAUGUAUUUAUCAAACAUUUAAUCAGCUCGUUUGAAUUCACGAUUUGAUGUGGUAUGAGAUGAACUAAUUAAUUUUUUUUUCUA